rnacentral:rRNA from 1 species
AGAGUUUGAUCAUGGCUCAGGACGAACGCUGGCGGCGUGCCUAAUACAUGCAAGUCGAGCGGAUCAUUUCCUUCGGGGAAUGGUUAGCGGCGGACGGGUGAGUAACACGUAGGCAACCUGCCUGUAAGAUCGGGAUAACUAUCGGAAACGAUAGCUAAGACCGGAUAGCUGGUUUCUCCGCAUGGGGAGAUCAUGAAACA